AAUGUCUCUUUUUUUUUAAGGUAAAGAUUUCUUUUAAUACAAUUUAAAAGGCAACUGCUAAGUUACAUUAUUUAUAAAUUACAAUUGACCCAAAGUAGUUUUAUAAUUAUUUGACAAGUAACAAUUGAAUCAUAGAAACAAAUUAGUUUUGAAUUGAUGUAAGCUUGGAAAAGGAAAGUGGAAUUUUUUAUGAUGAGCAAAAUUUAAUUUUUUUUCUCUUGUUCUGAAAAGAAUGGAAUCAUUUCUUUGCUUUCAUUCUUUUUUGGCCUUUUCCUUGUUUAUUGUAAUUAAUGUUUUUUCUUUUCUUUUUGUUUUUCUACACGUCAGGUUAAAUGCUCUUAGAAUUCCGCAAAAAUCAGAUGUUAAAAUAUAUGAUAAUUAUAGAACAAUAUAUUAUCCAUCUAUAGAUAUAUUAAUAAAUAUAGUUAAUUUUUUUUUUUGUAAUUAAGCAAAAACUUUAUAAAAUCUACAAAAUUUUUGUUAACACACGGCAUGUAACGGUUGAGAGGCAUAAUUGUGCAUGUGUAAUGCAUACUCUAAAUACACGUACUCCUUGCGGUUGAGAGGGAUGCUUGUGACUUGUGAGACACUUAACACGUACGAGCCCCACAGUAUUGAUUUUCAUUUAUUUCAUUAACUUUUAAUAUUUUUAUUCUUUAAUUAAUUUCAUGCAACAUCAAUUUAUAUGAGAUAGUUCAAAAAACAGUUUAGGCACUUAUUUUCAUCCUUGCUUGAAAUACUUCUGGUGUAUUUAUAUAAUAUAAAUUGACGAAAAGACAGUCCAAUAUGUGAAAGAGUUAUUCUAAGUCUGAAAACAAAUUUGAUGACCAAUUGUGUAUUUAAUCAGAUUUUAAAAUUGUUUAAUAUCAAAGCAACUAUUUACACAUGACUAAAUUAAUGCACGCAUAAUCUUUUUAUUAUUAAAAUAUAUUAACUCCAUUUCAGGAUCAAUUUAUUGCAAGAGUUUGCAUUUGGUAAGAUUCAAAAUUUUCAGCUAGUUAGUAGUAACUAAUAACUACGAUGACCAAAAAUAAAGUAAAAUAACGAAAACGCUACAAAUGAACACACAAAAGACUACAAUAAUCCCACCCAUGAAUUAUAUAUAUAUAUAUAUUUUUUUUAUAGAAACUAACAUUUUAACAAUUGUUGCAUUCUGAGAAGUUUUCUACACAAAUAGUUCGUAUGACUUGUAUUAGUUUAUGUUUUCUUCUUCCCAUUCCAGAUAAGUAACAUAUGUACCAAAAUUAAAGUUAUAUAAUAAAGUUCACGCCACAUGGCUACUUGUAGUAAAAGCUAUCAAGAGAAAGGGAGGGCAGCUGAAUUGUCUUCAAGCAGCUAAAGUUUUUCCAUUUCCUGUCUUAAGGGGAUUGGAUAACUCCGAGGCAUUGAGUCCUUACGAAAGGAAUCAUGUGAUCAUUAGGUUCCGAAAUGAAAUGUUGUACUCAUGGGGUCACAAUUGAUCCAAUAGGUUUAUAUAAAUGAUAAUACUACUCCUAAUACUUCUUUUUAAUAUCUUGCACUAUUUCUUGUCUUCAAAAUCAUUACAACCAACGAAGGCUCCCGAUCUUCAUCUCUCUCUUCAGCUUAAAUAUAUUUAUCAUAGGAAUGUAGGAUCACGAGAUGCUUAAAGUAAAAGAUAGAUAGCUCCAUCACACUAUAAUCAAGGGAGAUUGACAUUUUUUUCUUUAUUGAAAUUAAUAAAUACCACUCAUUUUUUAUUAUUUUCAUAAUACUUAAUAAUAUCCCUAA
rnacentral:lncRNA from 1 species